CUUCCCAUAAGACAACCUUCAUCUUUAUUUCAGUUCUCGUGACAUGAGUGGGACUUGGCUUCUAUCACAGACAUGGCAGUCAGUGAGGCUUCCAGAGGAUUCUAUUAGCCAUGAUGAUGAUGAUGGUUGAAAUGGUGGAAAGCCCUUUAUACUUUUUCUGAGGCUCUUUCACAUGCCUUAUGAAAAGUUCUCACCAUUUAACCUUAAAACACCAUCAGAUAAGAAGUGUAUAUAUGCAAAGCAUUUUUUUUUUCCAGGAAAAGAAAAUACAUGUAAUUCAAUCUGGGUUCUUAAAAUUUUCACAUCUAAAUGAACGUUAAAAUAUGCUUGGAUAUAUCUCUGAGGAAUACAAUCUUAACAUUUUUCAGUGUUCAACCUAGACUAAUAAUAAUAUCAGCAACUCUGGUUUGGGGAUCACAGAACUCACAAACCGUUCACAUCUGGUACGUUUCAUAUCCCUUUCCUGAUUCUACCGUAAGAAUAGUCAACAGGAAAUACGUUCACCGUAAAUGACUGUGAGGCAGUGAUGCAUGCUGCAGCUUCAUUCUUCUGGGGGAGUCUAAGUUUCCACCAUAAGAAAACUCAGAGAUGUCGUUAUUUCCUAUCUUCCUCUUCACUGAAUCCUUGGACAGUACCCAUUUUAUGUUCCUAAGUGAAAAUGCUGGCUUCACUGUGUGUCUGAAAGUGUACGAAGAGUGUCAUAUGGCAUCUCUCUCAUCUCUCAGAUCGAUGGCAUCGUCUAGGACUUCCCACAUAGACAAGAUAAACGAAAGGCUUCCAUGGACAGCUUAUCAAUUUGUCCUAAUUAAUCCCAACCAAUGCAUAUCUUCAAGCAUGUGA
rnacentral:lncRNA from 10 species